rnacentral:rRNA from 1 species
UGGGGAAUAUUGCACAAUGGGCGCAAGCCUGAUGCAGCCAUGCCGCGUGUGUGAAGAAGGCCUUCGGGUUGUAAAGCACUUUCAGCGGGGAGGAAGGCGGUGAGUUUAAUAACCUCACCGAUUGACGUUACCCGCAGAAGAAGCACCGGCUAACUCCGUGCCAGCAGCCGCGGUAAUACGGAGGGUGCAAGCGUUAAUCGGAAUUACUGGGCGUAAAGCGCACGCAGGCGGUCUGUCAAGUCGGAUGUGAAAUCCCCGGGCUCAACCUGGGAACUGCAUUCGAAACUGGCAGGCUAGAGUCUUGUAGAGGGGGGUAGAAUUCCAGGUGUAGCGGUGAAAUGCGUAGAGAUCUGGAGGAAUACCGGUGGCGAAGGCGGCCCCCUGGACAAAGACUGACGCUCAGGUGCGAAAGCGUGGGGAGCAAACAGG